rnacentral:rRNA from 1 species
AGGCGUGAUGACGAGGCACUACAGUGCUGAAGCAACAAAUGCCCUGCUUCCAGGAAAAGCCUCUAAGCAUCAGGUAACAUUAAAUCGUACCCCAAACCGACACAGGUGGUCAGGUAGAGAAUACCAAGGCGCUUGAGAGAACUCGGGUGAAGGAACUAGGCAAAAUGGUGCCGUAACUUCGGGAGAAGGCACGCUGAUAUGUAGGUGAAGUCCCUCGCGGAUGGAGCUGAAAUCAGUCGAAGA